AUCCCUAAUCAGAAGAAUAGAGAAGCAGCGGCGCCUCUCUUCCUCACGCCUCCCUCUUCUCCUGACAGAGACGGAACCUCUCUCCACCUCUCGCUUUCUCCAGCGAUUUCACCGAUGGGGAAGAAGGCGUCGCCUUUCCCUUCCGCCGGUUCCUCUCACUCUCGCUCGGAGAGCUCACGGCACCGCCGCCGACGUUUCUCGCCGUCCGCCGCUCGCCGAAUCUCCGUCGCUGCUGCCAGCGCCCUGCAUCAGCUCUCUGCGUCGAGCUUUCCGCCGAGCUUUCUCCCUUCCCGGCGAAAUCAGCAGUGGAGAGGAGGCAUCGCCUCCUCCGCCGCCGACUCUCCACCGGACAACCCUUCCCUUAAGCUAAGCCUUCUCCCAUUUCCCCUUCUACUCAAUUCCUUUAAAUUCGGAGCGGCUAUGUGUGUUUGCUUGAGUAUUUGGUAUGAUUUUGCAUAAGGAUUUCCCAAAUCCUAUCACUAAUUCUUUGAGAGCCUACUGGAAUCAGUUUCUAACUGUUGAUGUUGAAAUCCAACUUGGGCAGUAGCAAUGAGAAGAUUCUUCUUGACUAUUGGGGUUAUUUAAGCUUUGAUCUUGUGAGGAUCGAUUAUUGUAUCUAUUCAUUAGAAUUCAUGGUAGAAGCAAUUUGUUGUGGUUCUGGGCAGAAUGAUUGUUGAGACUAUUCCUAUUUCUUCUAAGUCCUUGCACUAUCAUGUUGUUGUUCUACAUGAUACAAAAGGUGGUGUUGUGACUUACCUGCUAUGCUGUGGUGAUGAAACUGGAAGAGAAACUGAUGUGCUCUUGAUAGCUUAGUCUACUCACUGCCCCUUUCACAAAGCUCACUCUCACUAUUGCUGGAAAAUUCUCAUGGUGUUUAUGAGAGUGUUCAUAGGUGGUGUGGAGGGGAAUUUAUUGGCAGAGUGUGUACUCGUGAGGCCUUAAUUGGAGCUGUUGUAUUCCUUUGUUCUCUUCUUGCAGCAAUCCUCUUUAUUAUGAUUGUGCAGCAAAACUUUAACUGAAAAUUGGCUCCAUAUGGGUACCUAGUACUUAGCUAAUAACUCCCAUUGUUUGAUUGUGGCCGGUACAUAUGCAAGGAUGCAGGUUCUGCUAUAUGGUGUGAAGACUUGCAGGAUUUGACUUGCCCCUUUUGGGUAAGUCUUUGGUCUUCCAACUAAAGAGAGGUUGUCUCCUUCCUCAUGCUUGGGAGAGGACUUGGGCUGCCAAGCUGCUGUCCGAAACGGGCUUGAUGCCUCGGGCCCAACUGGCUGAUCGGAUAGGGCCGACUUAUUGGGCUUCAAAAGGGCGUGAUGCGGUUCACAAGAUUAGGCCCAUUGUUUAUAGUCUUGUGAUUAUAGUCAUGAUCUUUCUUUCUCAAACUCAUAAAUUCAUGCACUAAAUUUUGUAUAAUCUGAAACAUGUUCUUGAUCCAUUAUUUAUCUUGGGCUUAA